rnacentral:rRNA from 1 species
GGGGAAUCUUGCACAAUGGACGAAAGUCUGAUGCAGCAACGCCGCGUGGGGGAUGAAGCUUCUCGGAGUGUAAACCCCUUUCGACCCGGAAGAAUGCCCGCAAGGGUUUGACGGUACGGGUAUAAGAAGCCCCGGCUAACUACGUGCCAGCAGCCGCGGUAAUACGUAGGGGGCCAGCGUUGCUCGGAAUUACUGGGCGUAAAGGGUCCGUAGGCGGUGUGGUAGGUCGGGAGUGAAAUCUCUGGGCUUAACCCAGAGGCUGCUUCCGAAACUGCCGUGCUAGAGUGUGAGAGAGGCGAGUGGAAUUACGGGUGUAGCGGUGAAAUGCGUAGAUAUCCGUAGGAACAUCCGAGGCGAAGGCGGCUCGCUGGAUCACAACUGACGCUGAGGGACGAAAGCUAGGGGAGCAAACAGGAUUAGAUACCCUGGUAGUCCUAGCCCUAAACCAUCAGGACUUGGGG